rnacentral:lncRNA from 1 species
UAAUGUUUUAUCAAAAAAGAUAAAUAUACACUUAUACCCCAAUGGUAAAUUAAUUUAGACAUUAGGGUUUAGAGUUAAGGGGUGAAGUUUAUGAUUUAUGAUUUAGGGUUUAGGGUUUAUAGUUUAGGGUUUAGGGUUUAGGGUUUAGAGUUUAGGGGUGGGGGUUUAGGGUUUAGGGUUUAGAGUUAAGGGGUGGAGUUUAGGAUUUAGGGUUUAGGAUUUAAGGUUUAGGGUUUAGAGUUUAGGGUUUAGGGUUUAGAGUUUAGGGUUUAGGGUUUAGAGUUUAGGUUUUAGGGUUUAGAGUUGGGGAGUGGGGUUUUGGGAU